GGAGAAUUACUCAAGAGGCUGAAGAGGACGGUUUGCUAAAUCGUUAGGUCGGGAAACUGGCGCGGGGGUUCGAAUCCCCCAUUCUCCG
rfam:Streptococcus sp. DD12 genomic scaffold scaffold00001, whole genome shotgun sequence.